AAAUCUUGAAAGGUUGGUUUUUCCCCUUUAGAAACUCGACCAGAAAAAUUUGAAGUUUAAUAAAUAGGCUCCAUAAUGUCAGUUAAGGAAUAGCCUAACCCCUUACUCAUAAAUGCCAAGCAAGGGCAAGAGUUUAUGGAUAUAUAAUUCAAUGAAAUAGCCUUGAUUAAUAGAAUAAACAACAUAUUUGUUUCUAAUGGGUGCAGGUGAAUUUCAUAACGGUUGCAAUUGAUUAGCAUAUAGUUACCAAUCAAGUACAGCAGAGAUGCAGGUAAAGAAGAACCCUACAAUGCAGUAAUAUUUAUUUGCACUGAUGAAGUCUCAUGGAGCAACUGCUAAAAAAAUCAACAAAAGCAAAUUUCUUAUGUAUAAUUACCUUCCAGUGUCCAGAAAAUUUAGUGCAAUGUUGAGUCAUUUUGUCUUUGUCCUAUACAAAAAUAAAUACAUAAAGGUACAAAUUACAUUUGUAUUUACAUAUUUCCCAUUUCAGUAGUUAUUAAAAAUUCUAUAAUCAAAUAGAAGAAUUGUAAAAAGGUAAUGCCCUGUCUCCAUUAUUAUUCCAUACUUGAACUAUCAUAUAAACUCUGAAUUAGUAAAUCAACAGAAGCAUUGCCUUGUGUGGCUAAUAACACAGAAAAUGAUGUGUUCUGGAAUUUAAAAAAAACAAAGAAGAGUAACCCUAUUAUUGAAAUUAUAAAUUUAAAAGUGGGAUGUCUGACAUUAACCGUGGAAUUAAUAUUUAUUUUGAUACUGCAGUAUACUUAUCUAAGAAAAUAUUUAGUAUUUAGAUAUUUAAUUCUACCUUCCUUGUUUAGUCCUACUACUGCAUCAUCUGUGCAAAUGUCAUUAUCUGCAUUAAAAUUAGUCGCAUUAUUAUUAUAAGUAAACCCUUGUGUGUAUAACUAUAAACUGAGACAGGAAUAGCAUUGAAAAAUCUCUGUUUUUAGAAAUAUACCACAGUAAUGAUUUUAAUCAAAUAUCUUGAAAUAUUGGAUCGUAGAUUGUUCUGUUGACGGUAUGGGAACAUGUAUGGUAUGUUUCUGGAUCUUGAACACCCAUUUAAGUGAUCUAAUAAUUUAACCGAGCCUUACAGGAAUGCUCUGUUAAUAUUGCUUGCAUUGGAAUGUUUUCACAGGCUGUCCCAGAUGACUGCAUUCAAGAGCCCAGCUUGUGUGCCAACCCUAGCGUUAAGUAAUCGAUCUGGCAUAACAAUCCUUUCUUUGCAUUCUUGUACUAGUAAUAUUCUAAUGAUACCUUUUCAGUAAUUCGUUUGUGUACAACUGGCAUUUCAUUGUGAAAUACUGAUUGUAGGUUUCUGUACAUGUAUGUUUAUCUAUCCAUCGUGUUGCCUUUGAAUAGUGAUGGAUAGAAACACUGUAUACAAAUGCAUUCAGUAGUUGUGGAACAAAUCCAGGGCAGCAACUUGUCUGCAAAGUUCUUUAUUGGGAUAAUGAGUUAAUCAAACUAAAGUCAUACGCCACAUGUAAAACCAGCCACGUAAUUUAUGCUCUGAAAUGUCCCUGCGGGAAAAUGUACGUAGGGAAGACAAUAAGGUCUGUCAGUACUAGGAUAAAAGAGCAUAAAGGCAAUAUACGCAAUUUUAAAAAUGAUACCUAUACUGACACUCCAGUAGCCAGACAUUUUGAUACUGUAAAACAUAAUGUAUGUCAGCUAAAGUGGAUAGUGUUAGAGACAGUAGCAAAACCCAGUAGAGGAGGUGAUCAUAACUUGAUACUAUUGCAGAGGGAGGCCAGAUGGAUAAAGCGCUUGGAUAGUGCUUAUCCGAAAGGGUUAAAUGAGCAGUGCAAUUUAUCAUGUUUUCUUUAAUAGUAAUGGCUUGUCGUCCUUUGUUCCCAGGAAUUAUAACUAGAUUCCAAGUUGUAAUGACAUGGAACUCCUGCUGCAUUUACAUAUGGGUCUUUUACAGGUUAGGCGGAUUGAGCAGUAACCUGGUUUUAACAUUAUGUUUCAGUGGGAUUUCAACAUGUAUUAUAUGAAAUAAUGUGUGUCACUUUUAAUAGCUAGAUGAAUUGGGUCACAAUAAGUUUUUACAAUAUUUA